GGAAUCUUCCGCAAUGGGCGAAAGCCUGACGGAGCAACGCCGCGUGAGUGAAGAAGGGUUUAGGCUCGUAAAGCUCUGUUGUUGGGGACGAAGUCCCGGGAGGUGAACAAUCUACCGGGGUGACGGUACCCGACGAGGAAGCCACGGCUAACUACGUGCCAGCAGCCGCGGUAAUACGUAGGUGGCGAGCGUUGUCCGGAAUCAUUGGGCGUAAAGGGAGCGCAGGCGGGAGGGCAAGUCUUUCCUAAAAGUGCGGGGCUCAACCCCGUGAUGGGAAGGAAACUGUUCUUCUUGAGUGCAGGAGAGGAAAGCGGAAUUCCCGGUGUAGCGGUGAAAUGCGUAGAGAUCGGGAGGAACACCAGUGGCGAAGGCGGCUUUCUGGACUGCAACUGACGCUGAGGCUCGAAAGCCAGGGGAGCGAACG
rnacentral:rRNA from 1 species